rnacentral:rRNA from 1 species
UACGAAGGGGGCUAGCGUUGCUCGGAUUUACUGGGCGUAAAGGGCGCGUAGGCGGUUCGUACAGUCAGACGUGAAAUUCCUGGGCUCAACCUGGGGGCUGCGUUUGAUACGUGCGGGCUUGAGUUCGGAAGAGGGUCGUGGAAUUCCCAGUGUAGAGGUGAAAUUCGUAGAUAUUGGGAAGAACACCGGUGGCGAAGGCGGCGACCUGGUCCGAUACUGACGCUGAGGCACGAAAGCGUGGGGAGCAAACGGG